rnacentral:rRNA from 1 species
GACGUAGGAUGCAAGCGUUGUCCGGAAUUAUUGGGCGUAAAGAGUUCGUAGGCGGUUAUUUAAGUCUGGUGUUAAAGACGGGAGCUUAACUCCCGCAUGGCACUGGAAACUGGAUGGCUAGAGUGUGGUAGAGGUCUCGGGAAUUCCAGGUGUAGCGGUGAAAUGCGUAGAUAUCUGGAGGAACACCGGUGGCGAAAGCGCGAGACUGGGCCAUAACUGACGCUGAGGCGCGAAAGCUAGGGGAGCAAACGGG